GAUGAACGCUGGCGGUGUGCCUAAUACAUGCAAGUCGAGCGAACAGACGAGGAGCUUACUCCUCUGACGUUAGCGGCGGACGGGUGAGUAACACGUGGAUAACCUACCUAUAAGACUGGGAUAACUUCGGGAAACCGGAGCUAAUAUCGGAUAACAUGUUGAACCGCAUGGUUCAACAGUGAAAGACGGUCUUGCUGUCACUUAUAGAUGGAUCCGCGUCGCAUUAGCUAGUUGGUAAGGUAACGGCUUACCAAGACAACGAUGCGUAGCCGACCUGAGAGGGUGAUCGGCCACACUGGAACUGAGACACGGUCCAGACUCCUACGGGAGGCAGCAGUAGGGAAUCUUCCGCAAUGGGCGAAAGCCUGACGGAGCAACGCCGCGUGAGUGAAGAAGGUCUUCGGAUCGUAAAACUCUGUUAUUAGGGAAGAACAAAUGUGUAAGUAACUAUGCACGUCUUGACGGUACCUAAUCAGAAAGCCACGGCUAACUACGUG
rnacentral:rRNA from 1 species